CAGAUACUCCCUCCGUCCGAAAAUACUUGUCAUCAAAAUGGAUAAAAAUGGAUGUAUCUAGAACUAAUAUACAUCUAGAUACAUCCUCUUUUAUUCAUUUUGAUGACAAGUAUUUCCGGACGGAGGUAGUAUGUU
rnacentral:pre_miRNA from 1 species